rnacentral:rRNA from 1 species
CCCUUAGAUGUCCUGGGCCGCACGCGCGCUACACUGAUGCAUUCAACGAGUUUUACCUUGGCCGAGAGGCCUGGGCAAUCUUUUAAACCUGCAUCGUGAUAGGGAUAGAUUAUUGCAAUUAUUAAUCUUGAACGAGGAAUUCCUAGUAAACGCAAAUCAUCAAUUUGCAUUGAUUACGUCCCUGCCCUUUGUACACACCGCCCGUCGCUCCUACCGAUUGAGUGGUCCGGUGAGGCUUUGGGAUCUGAGCGGAAAGAGCGUUUCGCUGUUUCUGCCCGGAAAACUCAGUCGAACCUUAUCAUUUAGAGGAAGGAGAAGUCGUAACA